rnacentral:rRNA from 1 species
UACGGAGGGUGCGAGCGUUAAUCGGAACUACUGGGCGUAAAGCGCACGCAGGCGGUUUGUUAAGCUAGAUGUGAAAGCCCCGGGCUCAACCUGGGAUGGUCAUUUAGAACUGGCAGACUAGAGUCUUGGAGAGGGGAGUGGAAUUCCAGGUGUAGCGGUGAAAUGCGUAGAUAUCUGGAGGAACAUCAGUGGCGAAGGCGACUCCCUGGCCAAAGACUGACGCUCANGUGCGAAAGUGUGGGUAGCGAACAGG